UCCGGUGUGGUGUAUCGGUAACAUAUCCGCCUCUCAUGGUUCUUAACCUUGCUUUCUGACGCGGUUGCGCGGGGUUCGAUUCCCCGCACCGGAA